CAUUUCUGCAUGAAGAGGAGAAUGGGACGUCCGAACAUUCCUUGCACCCAUCAAACCCGUAAAUCCUUCUAGAGUACUAUACCAUCCUUGUCCUGAGAAAAUAUCAUUCUCUUUCCAGGAACCAUCCGUGAAACACCAUCUUCCUGGAAUUGACGGAAGAAUCGUUGCCUCUACCUGUGGGAUCCUCUUAUUAUCAUUCAAUAUUUGUGUCUCAGCCCAGAGUUUUGAUUCCGUUUCAGCCAGUUUAAGGGUGUCCAACGGAUCCACAUCCAUAUUGCUAAAGACUUUAUUAUUUCUUCCCUUCCAUAUAUACCAUAGUAUCCAUGCAAAC
rnacentral:lncRNA from 1 species